rnacentral:rRNA from 1 species
GCAAUCUGCCCUGCACUCUGGGACAAGCCCUGGAAACGGGGUCUAAUACCGGAUACUGACCUUCACGGGCAUCUGUGAGGGUCGAAAGCUCCGGCGGUGCAGGAUGAGCCCGCGGCCUAUCAGCUUGUUGGUGAGGUAACGGCUCACCAAGGCGACGACGGGUAGCCGGCCUGAGAGGGCGACCGGCCACACUGGGACUGAGACACGGCCCAGACUCCUACGGGAGGCAGCAGUGGGGAAUAUUGCACAAUGGGCGAAAGCCUGAUGCAGCGACGCCGCGUGAGGGAUGACGGCCUUCGGGUUGUAAACCUCUUUCAGCAGGGAAGAAGCGAAAGUGACGGUACCUGCAGAAGAAGCGCCGGCUAACUACGUGCCAGCAGCCGCGGUAAUACGUAGGGCGCAAGCGUUGUCCGGAAUUAUUGGGCGUAAAGAGCUCGUAGGCGGCUUGUCACGUCGGUUGUGAAAGCCCGGGGCUUAACCCCGGGUCUGCAGUCGAUACGGGCAGGCUAGAGUUCGGUAGGGGAGAUCGGAAUUCCUGGUGUAGCGGUGAAAUGCGCAGAUAUCAGGAGGAACACCGGUGGCGAAG